rnacentral:rRNA from 1 species
AUACGGAGGAUCCGAGCGUUAUCCGGAUUUAUUGGGUUUAAAGGGUGCGCAGGCGGGAGAAUAAGUCGGCGGUGAAAAUUUGCAGCUCAACCGUGAAAAUGCCCUUGAUACUGGUUUUCUUGAGUGUGGAUGAGGUAGGCGGAAUUUGUGGUGUAGCGGUGAAAUGCUUAGAUAUCACGAGGAACUCCGAUUGCGCAGGCAGCUUACUAAACCACUACUGACGCUCAGGCACGAAGGCGUGAGGAUCAAACAGGAUUAGAUACCCUGGUAGUCCACGCAGUAAACGAUGAUUACUGGCUGUUUGCGAUACAAUGUAAGCGGCUGAGCGAAAGCGUUAAGUAAUCCACCUGGGGAGUACGUUCGCAAGAAUGAAACUCAAAGGAAUUGACGGGG